rnacentral:lncRNA from 1 species
CCGAAUCGGUACUAUAUUUCCAUGAAUUUAUAUAUUCACCUUUAGUAAAUAUCCUGUGCAAUAUGUUUGCCUUUUAAUCUUGACUUGAGACUGUGUACGGUUUUUUCCCGUGCAAGUUUUAAGCAAUCAAUCCUACAUCUUAUAAGGUCUUCAGAUUUGAUUACCACAAUUCAAAUGAAGUGAAUCUAUAUGCAACUGUACGGCCUUCAACAUUACGACAAAAUGUCCCGACUUGAAAAAUAAGAAAAUUCAGUUGAGAAAAGUAACGGCAUAUUCUAUAACAAUGUCCAAAAUUAAUAAGACCGACAUGAACCAACGACAACCACUAAACCAAAGGCUCUUGCAGGGAAAUACAGAAUAUGGCGGGCUA